UUACAGAUACGUUUGCUCUGGUGAUGGCAGAGAAUCUUGGCCGAGAGCCCAGAGCUGUGGAAACAUCCUUUGACCUUGGGUUGUACAGACAGUACUAAGGAUUUGUCAGAUGUUGACAAAAAGAAAGCCAAGUUCACCUGGACAGGUAGCAUUCCAUGUCACUUGUUUCAUACUGGGAACUAGCAGUAAAGCUUAAUUCACUAAUAAGUGGCGAGACAAAACCAGACAGACUGUACCUAAUUUCACAGCCUUUUUCAUUAAGACAGACUGCUGCCAACCACUCAAUGGCUCAGCUAAAAGUCUUACAACAAUGUAGAAGUAGUCGAUGGGAAAUCUGUCCAGUCAGAUGACUGGUCAUCCUGUCAUCCAGCCUGUUAUCUCAUCUUGUUAUCUCCCUGUUGCUCCAGUGUUGUGUCAACACUAAACA